rnacentral:rRNA from 1 species
AACGGACGCUGGCGGCAGGCUUAACACAUGCAAGUCGAACGCCCCGCAAGGGGAGUGGCAGACGGGUGAGUAACGCGUGGGAAUCUACCCAGAUCUACGGAACAACAGUUGGAGACGACUGCUAAUACCGUAUACGCCCUACGGGGGAAAGAUUUAUCGGAUUUGGAUGAGCCCGCGUUGGAUUAGCUAGUUGGUGGGGUAAUGGCCUACCAAGGCGACGAUCCAUAGCUGGUCUGAGAGGAUGAUCAGCCACACUGGGACUGAGACACGGCCCAGACUCCUACGGGAGGCAGCAGUGGGGAAUAUUGGACAAUGGGCGCAAGCCUGAUCCAGCCAUGCCGCGUGAGUGAUGAAGGCCUUAGGGUUGUAAAGCUCUUUCACCGAUGAAGAUAAUGACGGUAGUCGGAGAAGAAGCCCCGGCUAACUUCGUGCCAGCCGCCGCAGUAAUAC